GAUCUGAUGAAUAUGGAAAUUAUCUCCACACAAUCAGUUUCAAAUUUCACUGCCAGUUCUUCCUUCUGACUCUCCAGGUUCAUGGAAAUCAGCAGCUGUGGGAUCCAUCUCCUCCAUCCUGCUGGCUAUCACGCUCCUCAUUGUCCUUCUAUGGAUGAGAAGAAAGAAGUGCUUCACAUGUAAGGGUGAAGAAAGACCUGCCAGCAGAGACCAGCUACGCUCAGGUUCGCUGCAUGACGUCCCAGCAGCAGCAGAAAGACCACCAACAGAAGAGCAGGAUGAGCUUCACUACAGCAGCAUCAGCUUCUCUCACACU